UAGUCCACGCCGUAAACGAUGUCUACUAGCCGUUGGGAGACUUGAUUUCUUAGUGGCGCAGCUAACGCACUAAGUAGACCGCCUGGGGAGUACGGCCGCAAGGUUAAAACUCAAAUGAAUUGACGGGGGCCCGCACAAGCGGUGGAGCAUGUGGUUUAAUUCGAUGCAACGCGAAGAACCUUACCAGGUCUUGACAUCCUGCGAAUUUUCUAGAGAUAGAUUAGUGCCUUCGGGGAACGCAGUGACAGGUGCUGCAUGGCUGUCGGCUCGUGUCGUGAGAUGUUAGGUUAAGUCCUUUAACGAGCGCAACCCCUAUUCUUAUUUGCCAUCAGGUUAUGCUGGGAACUAUAAGGAAACUGCCAACGUCAAGUUGGAGGAAGGUGGGGAUGAUGUCAAGUCAUCAUGGCCCUUAUGGGCUGGGCUACACACAUGCUACAAUGGUGGUUACAGUAGGACGCAAUGGAGCAAUCCGGAGCAAAUCCUCAAAGAUCAU
rnacentral:rRNA from 1 species